rfam:Ipomoea nil DNA, scaffold: scaffold3109, cultivar: Tokyo-kokei standard.
AGAUCGAAACGUAGCCAAGGACGACUUGCCGAUAUCAUCCAUCUCUCUCUCUCUCUACAAAACGCAUCAAAAAAAUAUGUUUCUUUCGGCAAAUCAUCCUUGGCUGCAUCUCACAAUCUCA